rnacentral:lncRNA from 1 species
AUGUGCCGAAAUCCAGCAACUUGGCCAAGGAGCGUAUUUCGAAAACGGAUGGAGUUAUAAGCUACAAAAUUCCUCAUUGCCGACAGUGCUAUCUUUUACUGAUGAUCAACUUUCAUUACACAGUUUCCAUCCCCUACUCCACGAGUCUAUGAUAUGUCCACGAUGAUGUUUCAAUUAUCAAAAGGCGCGAAAAGUUGUCAACAUGUUGGCAGGUUGGGAAAUUGUUUGCGUUAUUGGUUAAGAUUGCCGCAGAAGCAUUUGAUGUAACUGACUAAAUUUUUUUGAGUGUAAAUAAUACGGGACAAUUGAACUCCUUCGCAAACUCUGGCGAGUUUGACAAAGGCCCAACGACCCUGUACUUCGAUGUGCAGUGUGAGUCCUUCUCUAUCUGGAGACCUACAGCCUCGGAUGUUACCGCCGAACACCAAACCUGCCCAAAGUAGUUCAGGAUUAACGGGAAGCAAGAACUAGAAGACACGAUGUAUCAUAAUUUCAGAAUCAUUGCACAUUAUACAUAAAAAGGACGUAUUUAAUCAUAUACAUGUAUAAAUUAGUUGUUAGACAAAGCAUAU